rnacentral:rRNA from 1 species
GACGAACGCUGGCGGCGUGCCUAAUACAUGCAAGUAGAACGCUGAAGAGAGGAGCUUGCUCUUCUUGGAUGAGUUGCGAACGGGUGAGUAACGCGUAGGUAACCUGCCUUGUAGCGGGGGAUAACUACUGGAAACGAUAGCUAAUACCGCAUAACAAUGGAUGACACAUGUCAUUUAUUUGAAAGGGGCAAUUGCUCCACUACAAGAUGGACCUGCGUUGUAUUAGCUAGUAGGUGAGGUAAUGGCUCACCUAGGCGACGAUACAUAGCCGACCUGAGAGGGUGAUCGGCCACACUGGGACGGAGACACGGCCCAGAAUCCUACGGGAGGCAGCAGUAGGGAAUCUUCGGCAAUGGGGGCAACCCUGACCGAGCAACGCCGCGGGAGUGAAGAAGGGUGUCGGAUCGUAAAGUUCUGUUGUAAGUCAAGAACGGGUGUGAGAGUGGAAAGUUCACACUGUGACGGUAGCUUACCAGAAAGGGACGGCUAACUACGUG